UACGUAGGGUGCAAGCGUUGUCCGGAAUUAUUGGGCGUAAAGAGCUUGUAGGCGGUUUGUCGCGUCUGCUGUGAAAUUUCGGGGCUCAACCCCGAACUUGCAGUGGGUACGGGCAGACUAGAGUGUGGUAGGGGAGACUGGAAUUCCUGGUGUAGCGGUGAAAUGCGCAGAUAUCAGGAGGAACACCGAUGGCGAAGGCAGGUCUCUGGGCCACUACUGACGCUGAGAAGCGGAAAGCAUGGGGAGCGAACAGG
rnacentral:rRNA from 1 species